AAUGGGCGCAAGCCUGAUGAGGCGACGCCGCGUGAGGGAUGACGGCCUUCGGGUUGUAAACCUCUUUCAGUAGGGAAGAAGCGAAAGUGACGGUACCUGCAGAAGAAGCGCCGGCUAACUACGUGCCAGCAGCCGCGGUAAUACGUAGGGCGCAAGCGUUAUCCGGAUUUAUUGGGCGUAAAGAGCUCGUAGGCGGUUUGUCGCGUCUGCCGUGAAAGUCCGAGGCUCAACCUCGGAUCUGCGGUGGGUACGGGCAGACUAGAGUGAUGUAGGGGAGACUGGAAUUCCUGGUGUAGCGGUGAAAUGCGCAGAUAUCAGGAGGAACACCGAUGGCGAAGGCAGGUCUCUGGGCAUUUACUGACGCUGAGGAGCGAAAGCAUGGGGAGCGAACAGGAUUAGAUACCCUGGUAGUCCAUGCCGUAAACGUUGGGCACUAGGUGUGGGGGACAUUCCACGUUUUCCGCGCCGUAGCUAACGCAUUAAGUGCCCCGCCUGGGGAGUACGGCCGCAAGGCUA
rnacentral:rRNA from 1 species